CCCUUAGAUGUUCUGGGCUGCACGCGCGCUACACUGAUGCACUCAACGAGUUUACGACCUUGCCCGAUAGGGUUGGGUAAUCUUUUUAAAAUGCAUCGUGAUGGGGAUAGAUUAUUGCAAUUAUUAAUCUUCAACGAGGAAUUCCUAGUAAGCGCGAGUCAUCAGCUCGUGCUGAUUACGUCCCUGCCCUUUGUACACACCGCCCGUCGCUCCUACCGAUUGAGUGCUCAGGUGAAUAAUUCGGACUGCAGCAAUGUUUGGAUCCCGAACGUUGCAGCGGAAAGUUUAGUGAACCUUAUCACUUAGCGGAAGGAGAAGUCGUAACA
rnacentral:rRNA from 1 species